GUGGGGAAUCUUCCGCAAUGGACGAAAGUCUGACGGAGCAACGCCGCGUGAGUGAAGAAGGUUUUCGGAUCGUAAAGCUCUGUUGUUUGAGACGAAUGUGCAGACUUUGAAUAAGGGUUUGUAAUGACGGUAUUAAACGAGAAAGCCACGGCUAACUACGUGCCAGCAGCCGCGGUAAUACGUAGGUGGCAAGCGUUGUCCGGAAUUAUUGGGCGUAAAGGGAGCGCAGGUGGGAAUGUAAGUCAGUCUUAAAAGUGCGGGGCUCAACCCCGUGAGGGGAUUGAAACUACAUUUCUUGAGUGCAGGAGAGGAAAGUGGAAUUCCUAGUGUAGCGGUGAAAUGCGUAGAGAUUAGGAGGAACACCAGUGGCGAAGGCGACUUUCUGGACUGUAACUGACACUGAGGCUCGAAAGCCAGGGGAGCGAACGGGAUUAGAAACCCGGGUAGUCC
rnacentral:rRNA from 1 species